AGAUUAAGUUAUUAAGGGCGCACGGUGGAUGCCUUGGCACUAGAAGCCGAUGAAGGACGUUACUAACGACGAUAUGCUUUGGGGAGCUGUAAGUAAGCUUUGAUCCAGAGAUUUCCGAAUGGGGAAACCCAGCAUGAGUUAUGUCAUGUUAUCGAUAUGUGAAUACAUAGCAUAUCAGAAGGCACACCCGGAGAACUGAAACAUCUUAGUACCCGGAGGAAGAGAAAGAAAAUUCGAUUCCCUUAGUAGCGGCGAGCGAAACGGGAAGAGCCCAAACCAACAAGCUUGCUUGUUGGGGUUGUAGGACACUCUAUACGGAGUUACAAAGGACGACAUUAGACGAAUCAUCUGGAAAGAUGAAUCAAAGAAGGUAAUAAUCCUGUAGUCGAAAAUGUUGUCUCUCUUGAGUGGAUCCUGAGUACGACGGAGCACGUGAAAUUCCGUCGGAAUCUGGGAGGACCAUCUCCUAAGGCUAAAUACUCUCUAGUGACCGAUAGUGAAGCAGUACCGUGAGGGAAAGGUGAAAAGCACCCCGGAAGGGGAGUGAAAUAGAACCUGAAACCGUGUGCUUACAAGUAGUCAGAGCCCGUUAAUGGGUGAUGGCGUGCCUUUUGUAGAAUGAACCGGCGAGUUACGAUUUGAUGCAAGGUUAAGCAGUAAAUGUGGAGCCGUAGCGAAAGCGAGUCUGAAUAGGGCGUUUAGUAUUUGGUCGUAGACCCGAAACCAGGUGAUCUACCCUUGGUCAGGUUGAAGUUCAGGUAACACUGAAUGGAGGACCGAACCGACUUACGUUGAAAAGUGAGCGGAUGAACUGAGGGUAGCGGAGAAAUUCCAAUCGAACCUGGAGAUAGCUGGUUCUCUCCGAAAUAGCUUUAGGGCUAGCCUCAAGUGAUGAUUAUUGGAGGUAGAGCACUGUUUGGACGAGGGGCCCCUCUCGGGUUACCGAAUUCAGACAAACUCCGAAUGCCAAUUAAUUUAACUUGGGAGUCAGAACAUGGGUAAUAAGGUCCGUGUUCGAAAGGGAAACAGCCCAGACCACCAGCUAAGGUCCCAAAAUAUAUGUUAAGUGGAAAAGGAUGUGGCGUUGCCCAGACAACUAGGAUGUUGGCUUAGAAGCAGCCAUCAUUUAAAGAGUGCGUAAUAGCUCACUAGUCGAGUGACACUGCGCCGAAAAUGUACCGGGGCUAAACAUAUUACCGAAGCUGUGGAUUGUCCUUUGGACAAUGGUAGGAGAGCGUUCUAAGGGCGUUGAAGCAUGAUCGUAAGGACAUGUGGAGCGCUUAGAAGUGAGAAUGCCGGUGUGAGUAGCGAAAGACGGGUGAGAAUCCCGUCCACCGAUUGACUAAGGUUUCCAGAGGAAGGCUCGUCCGCUCUGGGUUAGUCGGGUCCUAAGCUGAGGCCGACAGGCGUAGGCGAUGGAUAACAGGUUGAUAUUCCUGUACCACCUAUAAUCGUUUUAAUCGAUGGGGGGACGCAGUAGGAUAGGCGAAGCGUGCGAUUGGAUUGCACGUCUAAGCAGUAAGGCUGAGUAUUAGGCAAAUCCGGUACUCGUUAAGGCUGAGCUGUGAUGGGGAGAAGACAUUGUGUCUUCGAGUCGUUGAUUUCACACUGCCGAGAAAAGCCUCUAGAUAGAAAAUAGGUGCCCGUACCGCAAACCGACACAGGUAGUCAAGAUGAGAAUUCUAAGGUGAGCGAGCGAACUCUCGUUAAGGAACUCGGCAAAAUGACCCCGUAACUUCGGGAGAAGGGGUGCUCUUUAGGGUUAACGCCCAGAAGAGCCGCAGUGAAUAGGCCCAAGCGACUGUUUAUCAAAAACACAGGUCUCUGCUAAACCGUAAGGUGAUGUAUAGGGGCUGACGCCUGCCCGGUGCUGGAAGGUUAAGAGGAGUGGUUAGCUUCUGCGAAGCUACGAAUCGAAGCCCCAGUAAACGGCGGCCGUAACUAUAACGGUCCUAAGGUAGCGAAAUUCCUUGUCGGGUAAGUUCCGACCCGCACGAAAGGCGUAACGAUUUGGGCACUGUCUCAACGAGAGACUCGGUGAAAUCAUAGUACCUGUGAAGAUGCAGGUUACCCGCGACAGGACGGAAAGACCCCGUGGAGCUUUACUGUAGCCUGAUAUUGAAAUUCGGCACAGCUUGUACAGGAUAGGUAGGAGCCUUUGAAACGUGAGCGCUAGCUUACGUGGAGGCGCUGGUGGGAUACUACCCUAGCUGUGUUGGCUUUCUAACCCGCACCACUUAUCGUGGUGGGAGACAGUGUCAGGCGGGCAGUUUGACUGGGGCGGUCGCCUCCUAAAAGG
rnacentral:rRNA from 2 species